GAUGAAGAACGCAGCGAAAUGCGAUAAGUAAUGUGAAUUGCAGAAUCCAGUGAAUCAUCGAAUCUUUGAACGCACAUUGCGCCCGCCAGCAUUCUGGCGGGCAUGCCUGUUCGAGCGUCAUUUCAACCCUCGACCUCCCCUUGGGGAGGUCGGCGUUGGGGACCGGCAGCACACCGCCGGCCCUGAAAUGGAGUGGCGGCCCGUCUGCGGCGACCUCUGCGUAGUAAUACAGCUCGCACCGGAACCCCGACGCGGCCACGCCGUAAAACACCCAACUUCUGAACGUUGACCUCGAAUCAGGAAGGACUACCCGCUGAACUUAAGCAUAUCAAUAAGCGGAGGA
rnacentral:misc_RNA from 1 species